rnacentral:rRNA from 1 species
GAUGAACGCUGGCGGCGUGCCUAAUACAUGCAAGUCGAGCGAAUGGAUUAAGAGCUUGCUCUUAUGAAGUUAGCGGCGGACGGGUGAGUAACACGUAGGUAACCUGCCCAUAAGACUGGGAUAACUCCGGGAAACCGGGGAUAAUACCGGAUAACAUUUUGAACCGCAUGGUUCGAAAUUGAAAGGCGGCUUCGGCUGUAACUUAUGGAUGGACCCGCGUCGCAUUAGCUAGUUGGUGAGGGAACGGCUCACCAAGGCAACGAUGCGUAGCCGACCUGAGAGGGUGAUCGGCCACACUGGGACUGAGACACGGCCCAGACUCCUACGGGAGGCAGCAGUAGGGAAUCUUCCGCAAUGGACGAAAGUCUGACGGAGCAACGCCGCGUGAGUGAUGAAGGCUUUCGGGUCGUAAAACUCUGUUGUUAGGGAAGAACAAGUGCUAGUUGAAUAAGCUGGCACCUUGACGGUACCUAACCAGAAAGCCACGGCUAACUACGUGCCAGCCGCCGCAGUAA